rnacentral:rRNA from 1 species
AUUGAACGCUGGCGGCAGGCUUAACACAUGCAAGUCGAACGGUAGCAGGAGGAAGCUUGCUUUCUUGCUGACGAGUGGCGGACGGGUGAGUAAUGCUUGGGAAUCUGGCUUAUGGAGGGGGAUAACGACGGGAAACUGUCGCUAAUACCGCGUAGAAUCUUAGGAUUAAAGAAUGGGACCUUCGGGCCAUUCGCCAUAAGAUGAGCCCAAGUGGGAUUAGGUAGUUGGUUAGGUAAAGGCUGACCAAGCCUGCGAUCUCUAGCUGGUCUGAGAGGAUGACCAGCCACACUGGAACUGAGACACGGUCCAGACUCCUACGGGAGGCAGCAGUGGGGAAUAUUGCACAAUGGGGGGAACCCUGAUGCAGCCAUGCCGCGUGAAUGAAGAAGGCCUUCGGGUUGUAAAGUUCUUUCGGUGAUGAGGAAGGUGUUUGUUUUAAUAGGGCAAGCAAUUGACGUUAAUCACAGAAGAAGCACCGGCUAACUCCGU